GUAGGACCUGUGAGCCCCCGCCGUCGGGAGCAGGGGUGGGACAGGACCCGGGGUACAAGAGCCUUGCAGAGCGGGGCUGGCAGGGACAGGGGCUCUGAGGGCAGUGCCAGCAACCUCGCCCAGUUUUGUUAAAAAUUGAGGAAAAAGAGGAAGAGAGGACUAGUCAGAAGGGAGGGAGAUAGCUCCAGGCUAAAGCAGAAACGAAAGCUCUCCCUUCCCCUCUGUCCACAGCCAGUAGAACUGAGAUGAGCCUGGGAGCCCAGCAUGGAUGCUGGGGAAUGGGGGUGUUGUCUGCCGGUCUUGGCAGGUGUAUGGGCAGAGGCAUGGACACCCCAUCUUUCUUGGAGAAAGGGGCCCAAAUCCUCUCCAGAUGUUAUCAUCUGUCGCCAGCAAGUCAUUCUGGGAUCUGGGAGGAUGGAAGGUGCUCAACAGAAGAGCCGUUCAAAUCAUGGUGGCUGCUUGGCCACAUUUAACAUGGCGGCUCUCACAUCACAAACCAACAAAGGACGCACCUGCUUCGAGCAUCAUCAUCCCGGGAAAAACUUUGCUGACCUCUAUUCUAGAGAGAACAAAUGAAAGAAGGCUUCCCCCAGGAAGGUGUUCAUUCCUUCUCUGGGUUGGACAUUGGACUCACCGGGCUCAAGUCGCUUUCAGCUCUGAGGGCCUAGGGGCUCAGCAAGAACCAUUCGAUGAGAAGACUUUACUGAUGCCAAGGCCAGUGGGUUUUGCAAAGUUCUUCUCUAUGCCAGCUGCUGCACUGAGCACCUUAUGUUCACGCUCUCACGUACACCUCUCCGUAACGCCGUGAAGUG
rnacentral:lncRNA from 1 species